rnacentral:rRNA from 1 species
ACGGGGGUUGCGAGCGUUGUCCGGAAUUACUAGGCGUAAAGGGCAGGCAGGCGGAUCUAUAAGUUUUUCGUUUAAGGCGUCAGCUUAACUGGCGUACGGCGUGUGAGACUGGAGAUCUGGAAUGCGGGUGAGGAAGGUAGAAUUCCUCGUGUAGCGGUGAAAUGCGUAGAGAUGUGGAGGAAUACCGAAGGCGAAGGCAGCCACCCAAGCCGCCACUGACGCUGAGGUGCGAAAGUGUGGGUAGCAAACAG